rnacentral:rRNA from 1 species
UACGGAGGGUGCAAGCGUUAUCCGGAUUCACUGGGUUUAAAGGGUGCGUAGGUGGGCAGGUAAGUCAGUGGUGAAAUCUCCGGGCUUAACCCGGAAACUGCCAUUGAUACUAUCUGUCUUGAAUACCGUGGAGGUGAGCGGAAUAUGUCAUGUAGCGGUGAAAUGCUUAGAUAUGACAUAGAACACCAAUUGCGAAGGCAGCUCACUACACGAAUAUUGACACUGGGGCACGAAAGCGUGGGGAUCAAACAGG